rnacentral:rRNA from 1 species
CGGAGAGGGCGCAUGAGAAACGGCUACCACAUCUAUGGAAGGCAGCAGGCGCGUAAAUUACCCAAUCCUGAUUCAGGGAGGUAGUGACAAGAAAUAACAACCUAUGUCCUCACGGACUGUGGAUUGUAAUGAGUUUAAUUUGAAACACUGAACGAGGAACAAUUGGAGGGCAAGUCUGGUGCCAGCAGCCGCGGUAAUUCCAGCUCCAAUAGCGUAUAUUAAAGUUGUUGCAGUUAAAAAGCUCGUAGUUGAAUUUCUAGUUAAUUGCUAUUCGGUCUCCAGAUCAGUAGUAGUUAGCUAUCCGACACUGAACUAUGACGGUUAUUAAGUUAACCCCAUAGCGAAUUGUCAUUUUACUUUGAAAAAAUUAGAGUGUUUCAGGCAGGCAAUUGCCCGAAUAUCUUAGCAUGGAAUAAUGGAAUAGGACUUUGGUUCAUUUGAUUGGUUAUUGAAUCAGAGUAAUGAUUAAUAGGGACAGUUGGGGGCAUUAGUAUUUAAUUGUCAGAGGUGAAAUUCUUGGAUUUAUUAAAGACUAACUUAUGCGAAAGCAUUUGCCAAGGAUGUUUUCAUUAAUCAAGAACGAAAGUUAGGGGAUCAAAGACGAUCAGAUACCGUCCUAGUCUUAACUAUAAACUAUACCGACUCAGGAUUGGCCGUGUCUCAACUCGGUCAGCACUGUAUGAGAAAUUAAAGUCUUUGGGUUCUGGGGGGAGUAUGGUCGCAAGGCUGAAACUUAAAGGAAUUGACGGAAGGGCACCACCAAGAGUGGAGCCUGCGGCUUAAUUUGACUCAACACGGGGAAACUUACCAAGGCCAAACAGAGGUGGGAUUGACAGAUUGAGAGCUCUUUCUUGAUUCUUUGGGUGGUGGUGCAUGGCCGUUCUUAGUUGGUGGAGUGAUUUGUCUGGUUAAUUCCGUUAACGAACGAGACCUUAACCUGCUAACUAGUUUAUAUUCUCGCAGAGUAUAAUACUUCUUAGAGGGACUAUAUAUGUCAAGUAUAUGGAAGUUUGAGGCAAUAACAGGUCUGUGAUGCCCUUAGAUGCCUUGGGCCGCACGUGCGCUACAAUGACAUGCUCAGAGAGUUCUAUCCUGAUUUGUAAAAAUUUGGGUAAUCUUUUUAGGACAUGUCGUGUUAGGGAUCGAUCUUUGGAAUUAUAGAUCUUGAACGAGGAAUUCCUAGUAAGUGCAAGUCAUCAGCUUGUACUGAUUACGUCCCUGCCCUUUGUACACACCGCCCGUCGCUGCUACCGAUUUCGAGUGGUCCGGUGAACCACAUGGACUUUGUCUUGCAAAGGAUAAAGGAAGUGUAGUAAACCUUAUCACUUAGAGGAAGCAGAAGUCGUAACAAGG